GCCGUCCUUAUCUUGGGGUUGCGCUACUGUUCAAUGAACGUAUAGUGAGAGCAGUACUGCUAACACCUACACAACACAAAGGCAUCCCUGGGGUUUUACCGCCCCAAUGAGGUGCAAUUUUUGGAACC
ensembl:snRNA